rnacentral:rRNA from 1 species
UAAUACGUAGGUGGCUAGCGUUGUCCGGAUUUACUGGGCGUAAAGCGCGCGCAGGCGGUCGUUCAAGUCGAGUGUGAAAGCCCCCGGCUCAACUGGGGAGGGUCACUCGAUACUGAUCGACUUGAAGGCAGAAGAGGGAAGCGGAAUUCCCGGUGUAGUGGUGAAAUGCGUAGAUAUCGGGAGGAACACCAGUGGCGAAGGCGGCUUUCUGGUCUGUUCUUGACGCUGAGGCGCGAAAGCUAGGGUAGCAAACGGGAUUAGAUACCCCGGUAGUCCACGCUGUAAAC